rnacentral:rRNA from 1 species
AUUGAACGCUGGCGGCAGGCCUAACACAUGCAAGUCGAGCGGAUGAGAGGAGCUUGCUUCUCGAUUCAGCGGCGGACGGGUGAGUAAUGCCUAGGAAUCUGCCUGGUAGUGGGGGACAACGUUUCGAAAGGAACGCUAAUACCGCAUACGUCCUACGGGAGAAAGCAGGGGACCUUCUGGCCUUGCGCUAUCAGAUGAGCCUAGGUCGGAUUAGCUAGUUGGUGAGGUAAUGGCUCACCAAGGCGACGAUCCGUAACUGGUCUGAGAGGAUGAUCAGUCACACUGGAACUGAGACACGGUCCAGACUCCUACGGGAGGCAGCAGUGGGGAAUAUUGGACAAUGGGCGAAAGCCUGAUCCAGCCAUGCCGCGUGUGUGAAGAAGGUCUUCGGACUGUAAAGCACUUUAAGUUGGGAGGAAGGGUUGUAGAUUAAUACUCUGCAAUUUUGACGUUACCGACAGAAUAAGCACCGGCUAACUCUGUGCCAGCAGCCGCCGUAAAAC